GGGCUGCGUCCUCUUGUCUGCUUCCUGAAGGCCUAGCCACGGGGAGACUCAGCCAUGUUUGCUGAGUGGAGAGAAGGGUCGCAGACGCCGUGACGGCAGAAGGUGCAGGUGUGGACGUGGGAAGGAAAACAAGGGUUCUGGGGAGCAGAACUUCCCAGGAGACCAGGGUGGGCCUUCUCAGUCCCAGAGGCAGCCCUUGCAAGGGGUCAUCGGGGUUGGGGUUGCAACUCCUUCAGCCCACAGCAGCUGCAGAAGGAGCCCUGCAGUGGCUUGGGUCUAGGAGUCAUUUUGACUGUGACCUUCAGAGGACUGAGGCUCAGGGUCCAGAGCGGCUCCAGCAGCCAAAGCCUCCCCAGUCACUAGCUGGCCCCAGUGAACUCAUUAUCCCGCCAGAAGAGAUGGUGUGACUUCAGUGGGAGGAGUGAAGAGAACAGGAAACGCGAGAGGAUAUUUAUCCAGUCCCUGCUGUCAACAUUGCUGAAUGAAGAAGAUCCACGGAGUGAUAAGACUGCGCAUAGUGAAGGCGUGGCCUUGCCCAGGGGGUUAGGUGUGUGCUGGCUAAGGAUGGAGAAAUCCCCUACCCCUCCUUCCCCUGGGUCCCGUUGGUCUCCACGGGCCUGAGAUUGCUCCUGUGCAGAGCCUGGGACAUUGUUUCUGUUUGAACUUCCUCUCUCCCUUUUCUUUAAAAAAAUCGUCAUUUAAGAAUCUUAUCAAUAUUAUUUUGACUGACAGAUCAUGAUUGUAAACGUUUGUGGGGCAUGAGGUGAUGUUUGAUAUAUGUACACAAUGUGCCAUGAUCAGAUCAAGCAGAUUAACAUAUCGUCAUUUCACUUCCCUAUUAUUCUUCUCUGGUGAGACAUCUGAAAUUCACUCUCAGCUAUUUUGAGAUAUACAGCAUCAUCAUUGGCAAUAGUCGUGCACUAGAUCUCAAGACCUUUGCCUCCUAUCCACCUGAGACUUUGGACCUUUUCAUCACAGUCAAGAUAUGGAAACAACCUAGAUGUCCGUUAGUGGAUGAACAGACAGAGGAAAUGUGGAACAAACCAGGUACAGGCCCAUCCUGCGGUCUUCCUUCUCCACUCAGGAGGCCAAGGUGGGAGGGUCCCUGAGCCCAGACAUUUGAGACCAGCAACAUAGUGAGACUUUGUCUGAAAAAAGAAGAAGAAAUGUGGGCUGUACACACAGUGGAGUACGCAGCCUUGUAACAACGUGGGUCCAUCUGGAGGACUUAUGUCAAGUGGAGAAACCAAGCACCACAAGACAGAUCCUGAGUGAAC